rnacentral:rRNA from 1 species
UACGGAGGGUGCAAGCGUUAUCCGGAUUCACUGGGUUUAGAGGGUGCGUAGGCGGGCAGGUAAGUCCGUGGUGAAAUCUCUGAGCUUAACUCAGAAACUGCCAUGGAUACUAUUUGUCUUGAAUAUUGUGGAGGUAAGCGGAAUAUGUCAUGUAGCGGUGAAAUGCUUAGAUAUGACAUAGAACACCAAUUGCGAAGGCAGCUUACUACACAGUUAUUGACGCUGAGGCACGAAAGCGUGGGGAUCAAACAGG